rnacentral:lncRNA from 10 species
CGUGUGGCUGCCAGCUCACCAAAAGAGAUCACAUAGUUUGGCCCGGCAAAGGACCAGACCACAGCCAGGGACUGCAGGGGUAGUGAGGAGGGCAUGCGGCUGAAACAUACCAGCUCCAGCUCUGCAGAGCCCAGCAGCGGGAUCUGGGAGACGCUGCCGGACAAAGAGUGUUCAUUACCUUCCAGCCAAACCGCUCUGUGCUCCUCGGAGCCAGCCUUCUUCUGAGCAAGGCCCUUAACACCCCUUCUUGUUGAGCUGCCUCUGCUCUCCCUGGAUCCUCUUGGCUUAGCACCUCUCCAGCCCCUCCCAACUGGACCUCUCCUGGGACAGCAUGUGCUCUGCAUGGAAUAACAAGGUUAAAUGGACAAGGCUGAAUGGCCCUGUGAUGGGGAGUGCCUUUAAGCCACAUGACGGAAAUGAAACAGGAGCCAUAAUGACCAUGACUGGAGGAGAAUCAGAUUCUGGCCUGGCCUGGUUCUGUGAGAUACCUUAAAUCAUACUUUCUGUAGCAUCCCUUAAAGGUGGGUAGAGAGAAGGAGAGAGUUAAGUGUGGGUGCAGUCAUCCUCAGGAUGGUUGAUCUCUAAAUCUAUUCUUGGGCAAAAGUUUAGAGAAAAGCUGAAUCACUCAGCCCAGAGGAAGCCUGAGGAGGCAUAAAGAAGUCUUGGAAAUCCCCUGAAAAAAAGAAUCAGAUAUCACCUCCAUAGGAAGCUGUCUCUCUGCUUUAGAGCAAGAAUCAACAAACUUUUUCUGUAAAGAGCCAGAUAUCUGAGUCUUCUCAGAAGCAGAUGUCAAGACAAGAUUAUACACUCAAGAUAUAUUGGGUAACAUCUGUGAAACAUAAUGGAGAAGAAACAGGAGAAAGCAGGGAGAACUUUUGCACCAUGAUGCAGGACUGGCACCUCAGAAGGAGAGUGGGAAGGAAAGAGGAUUGAGUAGGAAAAGCCUUAAAUUUCAGCACCAUUCUAAGAAAGCUUCAGCAAGACUAUUGGGUAAUCCUUGAGCCAGUGACCAGUUGAGAGUUCUACACGUCACAGUAAUGAACUUGCAUUAGUGCCUCCAUGGUGCUUUUAAUCAUCGGCUGGCUGCCACCUGGGAAACUUGGCCUUUGUGGAUCCAGAGGGUCACCAAUUGGUAUCAUGACUCAUUUAUGCUCCCCACAGAUGAGAUCUGACCAUUUCAUGGCCUCCAACCCUUGGUCAAGAAAGCACAAAGAACUCCAGGCAUUCUCACCUUUGUUGGAAUUUUAUCGAGAGGACUUCUUGAAGUCAGGAAGGGUCAAUGCACCAUGUUCUAUACCAUUCAGAGGACUAUGCACAGAGAU